rnacentral:rRNA from 1 species
UACGUUCCCGGGCCUUGUACACAACCGCCCGUCAAGUCACGAAAGUCGGUAACACCCGAAGCCGGUGGCCCAACCCUUGUGGAGGGAGCCGUCGAAGGUGGGACUGGCGAUUGGGACU